rnacentral:rRNA from 1 species
AAAUAGAUACCCCGGGUAGUCCACGCCGUAAACGAUGAGUGCUAAGUGUUGGGGGGGUUUCCGCCCCUCAGUGCUGCAGCUAACGCAUUAAGCACUCCGCCUGGGGAGUACGGCCGCAAGGCUGAAACUCAAAGGAAUUGACGGGGGGCCCGCACAAGCGGUGGAGCAUGUGGUUUAAUUCGAAGCAACGCGAAGAACCUUACCAGGUCUUGACAUCCCGCUGCCCGGUAUAGAGAUAUAUCUUUCCCUUCGGGGACAGCGGUGACAGGUGGUGCAUGGUUGUCGUCAGCUCGUGUCGUGAGAUGUUGGGUUAAGUCCCGCAACGAGCGCAACCCUUGAUCUUAGUUGCCAGCAUUUAGUUGGGCACUCUAAGGUGACUGCCGGUGACAAACCGGAGGAAGGUGGGGAUGACGUCAAAUCAUCAUGCCCCUUAUGACCUGGGCUACACACGUGCUACAAUGGAUGGUACAAAGGGCUGCAAGACCGCGAGGUUAGCCAAUCCCAUAAAACCAUUCUCAGUUCGGAUUGCAGGCUG